UACAGAGGGGGCAAGCGUUGUUCGGAAUUACUGGGCGUAAAGGGCGCGUAGGCGGCCUGUUAAGUCGAACGUGAAAUCCCCGGGCUCAACCCGGGAACUGCGUCCGAUACUGGCAGGCUUGAAUUCGGGAGAGGGAUGUGGAAUUCCAGGUGUAGCGGUGAAAUGCGUAGAUAUCUGGAGGAACACCGGUGGCGAAGGCGGCAUCCUGGACUGAUAUUGACGCUGAGGCGCGAAAGCCAGGGGAGCAAACGGG
rnacentral:rRNA from 1 species